AGAUUCCCCCAGUAGCGGCGAGCGAACGGGGAGGAGCCCAGAGCCUGAAUCAGCAUGUGUGUUAGUGGAAGCGUCUGGAAAGGCGCGCGAUACAGGGUGACAGCCCCGUACACAAAAGCGCAUGUGUUGUGAGCUCGAUGAGUAGGGCGGGACACGUGGUAUCCUGUCUGAAUAUGGGGGGACCAUCCUCCAAGGCUAAAUACUCCUGACUGACCGAUAGUGAACCAGUACCGUGAGGGAAAGGCGAAAAGAAC
rnacentral:rRNA from 1 species